CCUACGGGAGGCAGCAGUGAGGAAUAUUGGACAAUGGGCGCAAGCCUGAUCCAGCCAUGCCGCGUGCAGGAUGACGGUCCUAUGGAUUGUAAACUGCUUUUGUACAGGAAGAAACACUGGUUCGUGAACCAGCUUGACGGUACUGUAAGAAUAAGGAUCGGCUAACUCCGUGCCAGCAGCCGCGGUAAUACGGAGGAUCCAAGCGUUAUCCGGAAUCAUUGGGUUUAAAGGGUCCGUAGGCGGUUUAAUAAGUCAGUGGUGAAAGCCCAUCGCUCAACGGUGAACGGCCAUUGAUACUGUUAGACUUGAAUUAUUAGGAAGUAACUAGAAUAUGUAGUGUAGCGGUGAAAUGCUUAGAGAUUACAUGGAAUACCAAUUGCGAAGGCAGGUUACUACUAAUUGAUUGACGCUGAUGGACGAAAGCGUGGGUAGCGAACAGGAUUAGAUACCCUGGUAGUCCACGCCGUAAACGAUGGAUACUAGNUGUGUAGANAUUAUAGUGUGUAGAGAAGUAGAGUAAGUAUACCUACCGUACGGAGGCGACGUCGACGAAGAAGUAGUAAAGUAAAGUAAAGUUAGUAGGACGUGAGAGAGACGACGACGACGACGAGGGAGGAGG
rnacentral:rRNA from 1 species